rnacentral:lncRNA from 1 species
GAGAGAGAGAGAGAGGGAGAAAACUCGAGUGGGGGGAGGGGCAGAGGAGAGGGAGAAGCAGAGACCCCCGGACCCCAGGACCCCAGGAUCAUGACCUGAGCCGAAGGCAGACACUUACCCGACUGAGCCACCCAGGUGCCCCUGUUUGCAUUUCUAACGAGAAAAAUUACUGUUUAUGAACUUGAAAGAGAAAAAUUACUGAGUCAGUUUUUCUCGCUCGAUUUCUGAACUUCCAUCACUCUGAGCAACUAAAUUGAACUUAAACUGCUGUAAAAAACCUGUUUCUAACAGUACCUGAACAGGGCUUUUUUAUUUGAUGCUUUUUAAAGAUAACAUAAUAACCUAGUUAAGAAUGACUAAUUUAACGCAGAAGACGAACUAUGCUUUACUUCAGCACAAUGCUACCAUCUCACGGCGCAGGUGACAUAACUGGUUGGCCCCUCCCGUCUCCUCCCUCAGGUGCUGGCGAGUCCUUCGAGUCCUUUGGUAACUCCUUCCAGGAACCUCAUCUGCUUUCUAGACCCCGAGCUUCCACUCUGUUAUUGCCUCCUCACUUGUGAUGCAGGCACCCCCCAUUCUGAUUCUGAACAAGGGUAUUGGCCAAUAUGACUUCUCUGCCCAGAUCGUACGUGAAUGAGGAGCGAUGACGAGGAAGAACAUCUCCAAACACACCCCAAACUGUCAUUGGAUUGUACGUGACCCCGUGGAAGAAAAUAGUUGCAGCUACAGUUCUGCAUGUUACUGGUUUGAGACCAGACCAAAGCGUCUUCCUUAGCUAUGCCCACAGGAAUAGUUAUAUGGGGAACUUAGAGAAGAAACAUCAAACAAAGAAGAAGGCUUGCAGCCAUAUUAAAGAAAAGUUGUCCUUGUCUUUAGCUGGAGGUGUCACGUUCUAAUUGUGUCCUUUUACUCUCAUUUUUAUACAUCCCCCUUUCUCUUGGAAAAUGACACUGUAGCCAUUGAUUUUAUUUUCAUCAACGGAGGUGAGCCAAACCAUAUGGUUUUCAAGGGGGUAAACAGACCAGACACAAGGGCUAAAAUGGAAUUAUGCAAUCAUGAGCAGGGGAAGAAAUGGGAGCAUUUC